rnacentral:rRNA from 1 species
UUGCGCAAUGGGCGGAAGCCUGACGCAGCGACGCCGCGUGGGGGAUGACGGCCUUCGGGUUGUAAACCUCUUUCGGCCCCGACGAAGCGUUUGUGACGGUAGGGGUAGAAGAAGCACCAGCCAACUACGUGCCAGCAGCCGCGGUAACACGUAGGGUGCGAGCGUUGUCCGGAAUUAUUGGGCGUAAAGAGCUCGUAGGCGGUGUGUCGCGUCGGCCGUGAAAACCUGUAGCUUAACUGUGGGCUUGCGGUCGAUACGGGCAUCACUGGAGUUCGGCAGGGGAGACUGGAAUUCCUGGUGUAGCGGUGAAAUGCGCAGAUAUCAGGAGGAACACCGGUGGCGAAGGCGGGUCUCUGGGCCGAUACUGACGCUGAGGAGCGAAAGCGUGGGGAGCGAACAGGAUUAGAUACCCUGGUAGUCCACGCCGUAAACGUUGGGCGCUAGGUGUGGGGGCCAUUCCACGGUCUCUGUGCCGUAGCUAACGCAUUAAGCGCCCCGCCUGGGGAGUACGGCCGCAAGGCUAAAACUCAAAGGAAUUGACGG